rnacentral:rRNA from 1 species
GAUGAACGCUGGCGGCGUGCCUAAUACAUGCAAGUCGAGCGAACAGACGAGGAGCUUGCUCCUCUGACGUUAGCGGCGGACGGGUGAGUAACACGUGGAUAACCUACCUAUAAGACUGGGAUAACUUCGGGAAACCGGAGCUAAUACCGGAUAAUAUAUUGAACCGCAUGGUUCAAUAGUGAAAGACGGUUUUGCUGUCACUUAUAGAUGGAUCCGCGCCGCAUUAGCUAGUUGGUAAGGUAACGGCUUACCAAGGCAACGAUGCGUAGCCGACCUGAGAGGGUGAUCGGCCACACUGGAACUGAGACCCGGUCCCGACUCCUACGGGAGGCAGCAGUAGGGAAUCUUCCGCAAUGGGCGAAAGCUUGACGGAGCAACGCCGCGUGAGUGAUGAAGGUCUUCGGAUCGUAAAACUCUGUUAUUAGGGAAGAACAAAUGUGUAAGUAACUAUGCACGUCUUGACGGUACCUAAUCAGAAAGCCACGGCUAACUACGUG